CUGUCAGUAAAAAACGGGGUUUGUACCCACAGCUGCCUGACUGAAGAGUGUCCAAGCGGAAAAGCUGCUGGAGUAAGGAGAGGAUCCUUUCUGGCUGCCAGAUCUCCAGGGAAUUCAGAGUCUGACCCCCAAACAGAGGAAUUCUCCUCCUCACCAACCCAGGACGCGCAGCAGCAGCAGCAGCAUCACCCAAACCCCCGGGAGAAUCCCAAAGCAGGCGUGUUUUGAGCCAUCCCUUCCCACUUCCCCGUCCCCAGAGCUGCCAUGGAGCUCGGGAGAGUUGGGAACAGCCUCCAGCUGAAGGAGGACAGGCUCAGGUUUUGGAUUUUCGGAACCAGCACCAAGCGGCUCCGAUCCGACAGGGGGAAAAAAAAAACCUCCAAACGACAGAGGGGACAACCCAUCUGAUCCCUGCCGGGAGCCGGCUCUUAGCACGCUACACAGGAGCCGUGGCAGCUCGGAAUUUUAUUCACAAAGCCAAACAAUUCCACCCUGGCAGCUGAGCAGCCUCCGGGGAUCAAUUAUUGCACCGUGCGCCGGCCACGCCGCGGCUCCCCCGGGAUGGAGCCGGCUCCAUCCUCCAGCCACGGGCUGUUCCUCAUGUCAAAACUGCCGCUAAUGACACAAUUAACUGGCUGGGGACUGCCGAGGAGCUCUUAAUUAGUGCAUACACAGAGGUCGCUUCCUUAAGCAGAGCAGCAGCUCGGGAAUUGCCGUCCGGUUUUAAGUGGAAAACCUCAGGGAGAAUCUGAGAUUCCCAAGGGGAAAAUGCAGAAACAUCUGUAAUUCUUCACAUGGUAACGGGACUGAGUGGCACUCGAGGACCAAAGCAAGGAUUCUGAAGCUCAGCCAGGUGCAGAUUUAAGGAUGCUUCAUCCCAGGCUCUGGAAAAAUGACGAGCAUCGUGUCCCCCCGUUUCUUGCACCCCUGCAGUGUGGUAUUGCUUAGUCCUGAGUAUUGAAAUAAAUCCUGAAGAGCUGAGCUGGAA